AUUGAACGCUGGCGGCAGGCCUAACACAUGCAAGUCGAACGAGUGGCGGACGGGUGAGUAAUGCCUGGGAAACUGCCUGAUGGCGGGGGUUGACUACGGGAAACGGAAGCUAAUUACGCAUACUUUCGGAUGUGCCCAGAUGGGAUUAGCUUGUAGGUGGGGUAAAGGCUCACCUAGGCGACGAUCCCUAGCUGGUCUGAGAGGAUGACCAGCCACACUGGAACUGAGACACGGUCCAGACUCCUACGGGAGGCAGCAGUGGGGAAUAUUGCACAAUGGGCGAAAGCCUGAUGCAGCCAUGCCGCGUGUAUGAAGAAGGCCUUCGGGUUGUAAAGUACUUUCAGCGGGGAGGCGUUACCCGCAGAAGAAGCACCGGCUAACUCCGUGCCAGCAGCCGCGGUAAUAC
rnacentral:rRNA from 1 species